UUUGAUCCUGGCUCAGAAUCAACGCUGGCGGCGUGCCUAACACAUGCAAGUCGUACGAGAAAGUGGAGCAAUCCAUGAGUAAAGUGGCGACCGGGUGAGUAACACGUGACUACCUACCUUCUAGUGGGGGAUAACUCCGGGAAACCGGAGCUAAUACCGCAUAACAUCGCAAGAUCAAAGCAGCAAUGCGCUGGAAGAGGGGGUCGCGGCUGAUUAGCUAGUUGGUAGGGUAAUGGCCUACCAAGGCAAAGAUCGGUAUCCGGCCUGAGAGGGCGCACGGACACACUGGAACUGAAACACGGUCCAGACUCCUACGGGAGGCAGCAGUGGGGAAUUUUGCGCAAUGGGGGAAACCCUGACGCAGCAACGCCGCGUGGAGGAUGAAGUCCCUUGGGACGUAAACUCCUUUCGACCAAGACGAUCAUGACGGUACUGGUGGAAGAAGCACCGGCUAACUCUGUGCCAGCAGCCGCGGUAAUACAGAGGGUGCGAGCGUUGUUCGGAAUUAUUGGGCGUAAAGGGCGCGUAGGCGGCGCCACAAGUCACUUGUGAAAACUCUGGGCUCAACUCAGAACCUGCAAGCGAAACUGUGGUGCUGGAGUAUGGGAGAGGUGCGUGGAAUUC
rnacentral:rRNA from 1 species